GUUGAAGAACGUAGCGAAAUGCGAUAAGUAAUGUGAAUUGCAGAAUUCAGUGAAUCAUCGAAUCUUUGAACGCACAUUGCGCCCGCCAGUAUUCUGGCGGGCAUGCCUGUCUGAGCGUCAUUUCAACCCUCACGCCCCUAGGGCGUGGUGUUGGGGAUCGGCCAAAGCCCGCGAGGGACGGCCGGCCCCUAAAUCUAGUGGCGGACCCGUCGUGGCCUCCUCUGCGAAGUAGUGAUAUUCCGCAUCGGAGAGCGAUGAGCCCCUGCCGUUAAACCCCCAACUUUCCAAGGUUGACCUCAGAUCAGGUAGGAAUACCCGCUGAACUUAAGCAUAUCAAUAAGCGGAGGA
rnacentral:misc_RNA from 1 species